CUCUGGUGAAAACACAGACCGAGAGAGAGGGAGGGUCGGAUGCGGAUGGGCGGCGAUCUGGGCCUUCACAGACUCAGCGGUGUUUUUUUUUUUUUUUUUUUGUAGCAGACUGACAGAGGGAAAGGCCCUGUUCUCCUUGAAGCACCGUGAGAACCAAUGGAAAGGAAGGCUGUUGUUGGAUCGGGGCUUUGGCAGCAGGGGCAAAACCAGCCUUGCUCUGAUACCAAGUUGAUGCCGCACAAGUGUGGGGAAAGAGGAGAAGAAGGAAGAACAAGAGAGGGAAAAGGAAGAAGAGGUUGUAGAGACGCAGGAAGAAUAGAGGAGGAGAGGAGAAAAAGAGAAAAAAAAAGAACGUAGGGGGAAAGAAAUUCCAAAUCACUUCAUUAAACCCUAAUCAUGAAAAUAGUUCCCUAUAUAUAGGGCCCAAAUACACAACUUGCAUAAACCCCCCUUACACAGAAAUAAAUCCUAAUGAA
rnacentral:lncRNA from 1 species